rnacentral:rRNA from 1 species
ACCUACGGGGGGCAGCAGUGAGGAAUAUUGGUCAAUGGCCGAGAGGCUGAACCAGCCAAGUCGCGUGAGGGAUGACGGCCCUACGGGUUGUAAACCUCUUUUGUCGGGGAGCAAGACCCGCCUCGUGCAGGCGGAGCGAGAGUACCCGAAGAAAAAGCAUCGGCUAACUCCGUGCCAGCAGCCGCGGUAAUACGGAGGAUGCGAGCGUUAUCCGGAUUUAUUGGGUUUAAAGGGUGCGCAGGCGGACCAUCAAGUCAGCGGGAAAAUCGAGGGGCCCAACCCCAUCCGGCCGUUGAAACUGGAGG